AAGUCCGUUCAUCCCAAAAACUCCGUCAUUUGCAGCGCACACUUUGUGGAAACGGACUAUAUGCCUAGUGACCUAACUGCGUUUAAGAUGGGGUACAAGACCAUGAGGUCAGUGCGUUUAAGGUCUGAUGCAGUUCCCACUGUUCAUGCUACGGCUAGCAUGCUAGCAGCAGCAGGUGCCCCAUCACGUCUGCCUUCACCGGGGAAGCCGCGGGCCGCCCAUCGGAAACGGGAGACGAGCAGAGUCAGGCCAUCUGAAACCUUGGUAGACACCAUGUUCAUCAGGGAAAGCUAACCGGAUUGCUGAGACAACACAUGCUGGAAGAGGUUUCCUCACAUGUCGUCCAAGCACUCCAUGUGCCCAGCGUACCAUCUGCCUGUAGGCAGUAUACCUGAACUGUUCAUUUUGGGUCAGAUCAAGUGGACCAUGUUCCUGCUUGAAAGCGCUGUAGGCCACCUGAAGCACCCAGGGGUUCAAACAGCAUGCAGAGAACCCAGGAUGCUGUCCCACACAAGUAAUGCCUUCGGGUUGUGGAUGGAGGUCUUCGACGAGGCUCCAAAUUGCAGGAAUCUCCCUGCAGCAUAUGCUCUCCUCCGCACUGCUCAUGGGCUGACAGUGUCCACAUAAACACCUGUAAUUAGAUAACAUGCUGUUAAAGAAUUUCUGUUGUUAAAUGUAGAUACAGUGUUGUAAAUAUAUGUUCAACCAUGUAAAGAUUUUUAUUUUUUUUACUUUUACAUACAGGCUUUAAAAAUUAAAUGUUUAUAUUUCAUCCGUAGUCAUAGCUGCUUAUAACAUGCUGAAACAUUUCAUGUAAUACAUAAAGCUGAGAUGCCCUUUU